CCUACGGGAGGCAGCAGUGGGGAAUAUUGGACAAUGGGGGAAACCCUGAUCCAGCGACGCCGCGUGAGUGAAGAAGUAUUUCGGUAUGUAAACCCCUAUUAGCAGGAAAGAAAAUGACGGUACCUGACUAAUAAGCCCCGGCUAACUACGUGCCAGCAGCCGCGGUAAUACGUAGGGGGCAAGCGUUAACCGGAUUUACUGGGGGUAAAGGGAGCGUAGACGGCCGCGCAAGUCUGGAGGGAAAUGCCGGGGCCCAACCCCGGAACUGCUCUGGAAACUGUGAAGCUGGAGUGCAGGAGAGGUAAGCGGAAAUCCUGGGGGAGCGGUGAAAUGCGUAGAUAUCAAGAGGAACACCGACGGCGAAGGCGACUUACUGGACUAUAACUGACGUUGAGGCACGAAGGCGUGGGGAGCAAACAGGAUUAGAUACCCCUGUAGUC
rnacentral:rRNA from 1 species